AGAGUUUGAUCCUGGCUCAGAUUGAACGCUGGCGGCAGGCCUAACACAUGCAAGUCGAGCGGAUGACGGGAGCUUGCUCCUUGAUUCAGCGGCGGACGGGUGAGUAAUGCCUAGGAAUCUGCCUGGUAGUGGGGGACAACGUUUCGAAAGGAACGCUAAUACCGCAUACGUCCUACGGGAGAAAGCAGGGGACCUUCGGGCCUUGCGCUAUCAGAUGAGCCUAGGUCGGAUUAGCUAGUUGGUGGGGUAAUGGCUCACCAAGGCGACGAUCCGUAACUGGUCUGAGAGGAUGAUCAGUCACACUGGAACUGAGACACGGUCCAGACUCCUACGGGAGGCAGCAGUGGGGAAUAUUGGACAAUGGGCGAAAGCCUGAUCCAGCCAUGCCGCGUGUGUGAAGAAGGUCUUCGGAUUGUAAAGCACUUUAAGUUGGGGGGAAGGGCAGUAAGUUAAUACCUUGCUGUUUUGACGUUACCGACAGAAUAAGCACCGGCUAACUCUGUGCCAGCAGCCGCGGUAAUACAGAGGGUGCAAGCGUUAAUCGGAAUUACUGGGCGUAAAGCGCGCGUAGGUGGUUUGUUAAGUUGGAUGUGAAAGCCCCGGGCUCAACCUGGGAACUGCAUCCAAAACUGGCAAGCUAGAGUACGGUAGAGGGU
rnacentral:rRNA from 1 species